rnacentral:misc_RNA from 1 species
AAAGAAAAAAAAUUUCUCCUGAAGAAAUGUCGAAUAUGAAAUCAUUAAUAUCGACUAUUGCAUCCGUCACUGCAACAGCUAUGCUUGUUCGAAGCAUAGCUAGUGACUUUAUCCCAAAAGAAUAUCGUAGUUAUGUCUUUGAUAGCUUCCACAGCCUUUUUCAUCGUUUCUCUUCGCAAUUCACAAUCUUGAUUCAUGAAUUCCAGG